UACGGGGGGGGCAAGCGUUGUUCGGAAUUACUGGGCGUAAAGGGCGCGUAGGCGGCCUGCUAAGUCGGACGUGAAAUCCCUCGGCUCAACCGAGGAACUGCGUCCGAUACUGGUGGGCUUGAAUCCGGGAGAGGGAUGUGGAAUUCCAGGUGUAGCGGUGAAAUGCGUAGAUAUCUGGAGGAACACCGGUGGCGAAGGCGGCAUCCUGGACCGGUAGUUGACGC
rnacentral:rRNA from 1 species